CCUACGGGUGGCAGCAGUGAGGAAUAUUGGACAAUGGACGAGAGUCUGAACCAGCCAAGUAGCGUGAAGGAAGACUGCCCUAUGGGUUGUAAACUUCUUUUAUGAAGGAAUAAAACGAGGCACGUGUGCCUUUUUGCAUUUACUUUAUGAGUAAGGAUAGGCUCACUCCGGGCCAGCCGCCGCGGUAAUACGGAGGAUCCGAGCGUUACCCGGAUUGAUUGGGUUUAAAGGGAGCGUAGAUGGGUUGUUAAGUCAGAUGUGAAAGUUUGGGGCUCAACCGUAAAAUUGCAAUUGAUACUGGCAGUCUUGAGUACAGUUGAGGGAGGUGGAAUUCGAGGUGUAGCGGUGAAAUGCGUAGAGAUCUCGAAGAAUCCCGAUGGCGAAGGCAGCCUACUAGACUGUGACUGACAUUGAUGCGCGAAAGUGUGGGUAGCAAACAGGAUUAGAUACCCCAGUAGUC
rnacentral:rRNA from 1 species